UACGAAGUGUUGGCUCCGGCGGGUUUU
rnacentral:sRNA from 1 species